UAGUACGCGUUUAAUACGCUCGGUGUAAACCAAGUCGAAGACAUUUUGAAUCGGAUCGUUGGAAAUUUCAAACUUACCUUGCAAAUAAAUUUGAUCGUAUUAUCGAAUUAUUGCCCUUUUCACGCGAUGUAGGAAGUAUGACUGACUUGUUUACAAAAAUUUUGUUACCCGACCUGUUUCGUUUGGAACGAAGCAAUGAAUAACUAACACCUCUGCGCUGUAAAUUGUUGGUUGUUAGUAAAGGAAUUAUGUGCACGUUCGAGAGCAAUUGUAUUUGUUCCUUGUAUUGACACGUAGGUUAGCUUUUUGCAAAAGGUUGAAAAGAAAUACCAAGACCUUCGCGUAUAUUCGAAAAACAUGGACGUGGAAAAAAUUGCUGUGUUCGCUAGCGUAGGAUUUGCAAUAGCCGUUGCAGCGUUUAUUUUAUGGGGUCCUUCCCCUAAACCUAGAAAAAAAGGAAAAAUCAUAGGAAUCAAUAAUCUAGGGUAUACUUGCUUUCUAAAUUCCCUUUUACAAGCAUUAGCUGCGUGUCCAAUAUUUGUUGGAUGGUUGAAAGAACAGUGCGAGAAAAGUGGCAAAGUUACCUUCAUUUCGACUUUGCUCUCUGUUUUCGAAAAAAUCAAUGGGUAUGCAGAGGAUCUGUACGGUGAUGUAACACCAAUCGAGAUAAUUUCGUCUCUUGGUAAUCUGUGGAAUUUUGCACCAGGCCAUCAAGACGCGCACGAACUAUUUCACGUUGUACUUAAUGCAUUGCAAGCAGAAAUUCAACCUGUAAAUAGGAAAGGUUGCUUGUCCGAUGCUUUAUUGCAAAGUCCAACGAUGGUAGUAGAUGCAACAAACGCGAGCAAUUCGUUAUCCUUUAGAAGCGUAUCUUGCAACGAUAUUGUAUCUGUCAAUAGAAAUCCUAAUACUCCGAACGGAUUUGAUAGAAAUUGUAACAAUCAUGUAAUGUCUUCAACGCCGUCGAUAUCGAGUAUUCCUAUCGCGUAUAAUAAGCCUGGUAUGAUCCUUGCCAGAUCUUCAGAACUGCUUUCAAAGAAUAUCGGAGCUGGAGAGAAUAAAGAAUCGUUUAGAUUGUGGAACUCUUUAUGUGCCAUACCUGUUUCUAAUUCUUCAUCGAUGUCCAUAGAAGCUCAUCCAUUUUCGGGUUUAUUAACUAGUCAAUUACAAUGUAGUAACUGUAAAUGGAAGUCUGCCGUUCAUUACGACAAACUCGAAACAGUUUCGUUAGCUUUGCCGCCCCUGGGACCACAUAUUAGGUCACAUUAUACAUUGGAAGAACUGUUAGCACGUUUUGUAACUAGCGAAGUUAUUCAGGAUGUGUUGUGCGAUGGAUGUGAAACGCGUUGUUUAUCCACCAAAACCUUAACUCUUGGCAAACUACCCAAGUGUUUGUGUUUACAUAUAUCAAGAACUACGUGGAGUAAUUCUGGAACACCAAUUAAGAGAGACGAUCCAGUAACAUUUCCACAAAUAUUAAUAUUGGAUCCUUAUACUUUCACAGAAACUAAAAAACGAAAUGCACGGCAGGGUGAGCCCGAAGCAACUAUGUUGCUCGCUAAUCGCGCAUCAUUAACGGAUAAAUACAAGUUUCAACUGCGCGCGAUCGUGGAACAUCGUGGAUCUGUUGAUUCUGGGCAUUUUGUUUGUUACAGACGAGGAAAUAAAUUGGAUCAAUGGCUGUAUACAUCAGACAACGUAGUUGAAAGCAUAUCUUUGAUCGAAGUUUUAUGUGCCACGCCAUACCUUCUGUUUUAUGAACGUAUUAAUAGUAAAUAAGUAUAGUUGAUAACGAAUUUUAGUCGUCGUAAGAGAGGACGUCGUUUAUUUUCCUUAAAAAGUUAUCCAAAUACUGAUCUUUCUCGAUUUCUACAGGUUUAUAGAUUCGUAUGUGGAUCGUCGAAAUAUGAUACUAAUAUUUUAUCCAAACCAAAUUGGAUAAAAACUGAGUGCACAGCUGUUCUACCAAAAAAAACUUUUUAUUUCAAUUUUGUUUCUUGUUUCUUCAAACAACACAAGUAACACUUUUAUAUGUUCAUACUAUGUUUUAGAUUUGGAAUGUAAGAGUUACAAGCUCUUUGUCUAUCAACAUUUUAAUAUUUAUAUUAUUUUGUUUACCUAUUGUCCUCAACCCCAUUCAUUUAUCUACAUUAUAUAAUUUCUCAAACAUUGUAUAUAUUAUCAAUGGCAUUAAUAAAUACAGCACUAUUUCGUUGCAAAGGUUAUUAUAGGUGUUUCAAAAUUAAAAAACAAAUAAUCUUAUUUAAAUAACAUAUGAUACAUGUAAAGUGCCAAAAAACUAAUAUAUCGCUGUUUUUAUCAACAAAAGUGCUUAAAUAUUUUCAACUAUUCGAAAAUUUGUUUUUGAAAAGUUGCCUCGUUUCUCCGUUCCCCUGCAAUUUAGAAUAAAAAAAACAAUCAUCUUUGGACGAUUCGUAUGCAAAUUUACAAACUGCAGAAACGAAAGAAAAUUCAUGUUUUGCUAACUCCUUAUAGAAAGUUAGUAAUGUUUUUUCAGAAACGAUGAAGAAGCAUGCUAAUUUACAAUAACAUAAUAAUGAGGGAAUUGAAGAGACUGCUCGGGUAUUAGCGGUAGCUUCUGAUAUAAUUAUUUAUUAUAUAAGACAUGAGAAUGCUUUAUAAAGGGAGUUUUAUUAUUUUUUGCAUGUAUCAUACUUCUGUUAGAAUAAUACUUGGAACGCGAAAGCAAAAUGCUUACCAGCAUUCGGGGUUUGGUAAAUUUUAUUUACGAAUAACAAAUGAUUAUUUUAGAUUUAUUCGUAAAAUAAUUUCCGUUCACGUUUCGAUUGAAAAUUUCAUUCGUAAAUUAUCAUUCGUAAGUCACCCAGAUAUGGGUGACGGCGGGGUAUUUUAAACGCACAUUUAAGCGAUCGAAACCACGGACAAAGCUCGUUUACGAGUGAAUCUAAAAUUUGUAUUGUUAUUUACGAAUAAAAUUUUCUCAACUUUGCCAGUAUUAUUUCUUUGUUUGUGUCAAAUAACAACUAUUCUGUCCACUAAUAGAGAAUCUACAGUUUUAUUUGGGAUCUUAAUCACGAUGUCAACGGUAGUCUUUACAUCGUAUAGUUGCGAUAGAAUGUAACCGACGCGUCAUUACUCAAGUAGCGUAUAAUUUUCAAUUUUAAUUAACUAGUACAAGUCCUUUAAUUUUAUUAAUAGAGAUCGAAUGUAAUCAAUGAUUUAGCCAUGGUAGCGAUGUUUGUAUGCCUAAGGCCAAUGAUAAUGCAGAGUAAUCGUACUUUUAGGUGCCUCGAUUAACCAUUUGGCGGAUUUCAUGUAUUGCAGAGGGGAGGAAAAAGAUAACGAAAUCGUGGCAAAUCAAUUCAUCGUUUUAUAUGGUGUGAAUCGCUGUUUUGUAUAACUAGAGCUUGUGAAUUUGUUUCUAAAUAUCUACCGAAGCAAUUAUUCAUAACGAAAUAUACAUAUAAUGAGAGUCUUCUUUAACUUGAUCAUCUAGAAUACCCUCAUUCCUUUUAAUGACAUGGACAAAGUCGGGCAAACAGAUUGCUUGAAUUGAACAGGGAAUCCCAAUGGAACAAGCAUUUCUGCAGAUGGAUUUGUAUAAUUAUUUAUAUUGACUUCUAUUAUAUUUAACACUUCUUGUCGCAUUGGUUCAGAUAUGGUAUUCAAAAUUUCAGUAAUUGCUUCCUCCAA